GCGGCAGUAUCUUAGUGGUACAGCUCCCGCUUCGUAUCCGGGAAGAUCUGGAUUCGAUUCCCGGCUGCUUCC
rnacentral:tRNA from 1 species